rnacentral:rRNA from 1 species
UACGUAGGGUGCGAGCGUUGUCCGGAAUUAUUGGGCGUAAAGAGCUUGUAGGCGGUUUGUCGCGUCUGCUGUGAAAAUCCGGGGCUCAACCCCGAACUUGCAGUGGGUACGGGCAGACUAGAGUGUGGUAGGGGAGACUGGAAUUCCUGGUGUAGCGGUGAAAUGCGCAGAUAUCAGGAGGAACACCGAUGGCGAAGGCAGGUCUCUGGGCCAUAACUGACGCUGAGAAGCGAAAGCAUAGGGAGCGAACAGG